AAAGUCGUAACAAGGUUUCCGUAGGUGAACCUGCGGAAGGAUCAUUAUAAAAUGCAGCUUGCUGCUUCUAUAUAUCUUACACCUGUGAACUAUUGCCUUCGGGCCAAACCAAACAUAAUGUAACGAAUGUAAACUAUUAUAACAAAAUAUAACUUUCAACAACGGAUCUCUUGGCUCUC
rnacentral:misc_RNA from 1 species